UCCCAGGUGGCUCAGUGGUAAAGAAUCUGCCUGUCAAGCAGGAGACACAGGUUCAAUCCCUGGGUUGGAAA
rfam:TPA: Bos taurus chromosome 24, whole genome shotgun sequence.